UAGAGGAAGUAAAAGUCGUAACAAGGUUUCCGUAGGUGAACCUGCGGAAGGAUCAUUAUCGUACUGCUGAGACACAAGGGCUGUUGCUGACCCUUUACAAAGGUCGUGCACGCCCAAGUGCUCUCACUUACAAUCUACUUCACCCCUUGUGCAUUACUGCGCAGGGCUUCCCUCUGGGCUUGCUUUGAGGGAGGCUUGCGUUUUUUUCCUACACAAACACCUAGUUAGUUUGGAAUGUCAUUUAUUUGCAAUAACAUGCAAUCAAUACAACUUUCAACAACGGAUCUCUUGGCUCUCGCAUCGAUGAAGAACGCAGCGAAAUGCGAUACGUAAUGUGAAUUGCAGAAUUCAGUGAAUCAUCGAAUCUUUGAACGCACCUUGCGCCCCUUGGCAUUCUGAGGGGCACACCCGUUUGAGUGUCGUGAAAUUCUCAAACCUUCUUGGUUUUUUUUUUGACCAAGAUGGCUUUGGACUUUGGAGGUAUUUUGCUGGCUUUGCAGAAAGCUAGCUCCUCUUAAACACAUUAGUGGGGUCUCCAUUGCUGAUCCCCAGACAUGAUAAGAUAUUUCUGUGUCUUGGGAUUUGCUCUGUUUUCCAAGGAACCUGCUUCUAACUGUCUCACCUGAGACACUGUUCGAGCUUGCUCGGCCAACGAACCUUGACCUCAAAUCGGGUGANACUACCCGCUGAACUUAAGCAUAUCAAUA
rnacentral:rRNA from 1 species